rnacentral:lncRNA from 1 species
UUUUUUUUUUUUUGUCUUUUUGUCUUUUUGUUGUUGUUGUUGCUAUUUCUUGUAAAUAAAUAUUUUAAUAAACAAUUUAUCCUGUUUUUCAUAUAGAAACCUAAACUUACAAUUCAAAGAAAUUAGUAAAACUGUGGUUUGGAGGAAUAAUCACCUUAUUUUUUUUUUCAUUUUUAAAGUUUUAUGGGAGUACAUUUGAUUCACAAUGUUGUGAUCAUUUCUGCUGUACAACAAAGUUAUCCAGUUACAUAAUACACAUAUCUAUUCUUUUUUAGAUUCUUUUCCCAUGUGGGUUAUCAAAGAUAUUGGGUAAAGUACUUUGUGCCAUACAGCAGGUCAACAUUGACCAUCCAUUCUAUAUACAAUAGCUUACAUACAUCAGUCCCGAACCCCUAAUCUAUCCCUGCUGCCCCUGUCCCCUUUGGUAACCACAAUUUUGUUUUCAGUCUGUGAGUCUCUUUGUGUUUUUUAAAAAAGUUCAUUUGUAUCUUUUUUUAAAGAUUCCACAUGUAAGUGAUAGCAUACAAUGUUUGUCUUUCUCUUGACUUACUUCACCUAGUAUGAUAAUCUCUAGGUCCAUCUAUGUUGUUGCAAAUAGCAUUAGUUCAUUUUUUUAUGGCUGAAUAAUAUUUCAUUAUAUACCAUAUCUUCUUUAUCCAUUCCUCUGAUGAUGGACAUUUAGGUUGCUUCCACAUCUUGGCUAUUGUAAAUAAUGCCGCAGUGAACAUUAAGGUACAUGUAUCAAAUUAUUAUUUGCAGAUCUUCUUUUUUCUAUUUAUCUAAUUCACUUCAAUGUCUAAAAGUGUAUAGGUAUUAAACAAAAGUUAUCAAAUUCCAAAGAUAGAAUCAUAAAAUAUUACAGCUGGAAGGAACCUUAGGAAUUAGCCACCAUCUCAUUUUGUGUAUGAGAAUUCUGAGGACUAGAGAGGCAGAAUACUAGUCAGUGUCUAUAGGACUAGUUAAUGUCUUACUCACAGAUUUGUUGCAAUCAUCAGUUCCUGCCAACUGAAAGAAGUUAUUCUUUAUGAAAUCCUAAGACAUUAGCAAAGUCAAAUGCUAAGAUCCUUUCUAUCUGAUCUUGGCAAUGUCAGCUUUAUGUGGUGCCCCUUCAAUAGGAAGAGCAGAAAUACUGCCACCGCUCAACAGCUGGAACAUCUCUGGGAAUGUAAUGGGCUCUGACAUUCAGCAAUAGAACUAACCAUAGCAUCUCAAGCAAUUAGAUAGCACUUUAUAAUUGAUGUGAUCCUUCCCAAGACAUUCACUGAUUUAUUCAUGUUUAUUGAGCACCUUCCUGGGUGAAGUGUCACAUGAGGCCCCAAGGAACUGUCCGAAGAUGAAUCAGACAGAAAGGUCCCUGCUGUUCUGGAGCUUAUAUUCUGACUACAGGGAGAAAGCAGCACAUAAACCAGGAAACAAAUGCGCAGCAUUCUCCUUUCUUUACCAUACUGUAUUACUUGAAACUCUACUGUUGCUUACUACUUCAUAUUCUUCAAAGAUGAUGAUGAUAGCGAGAAUAAUAAAGAAGAAAAUGAAAAAGAGGAAGAAAAUAGAAGGAGGAAAAUGAAGAGAAUGAUUAAGUAAAGGAGAAGGAAUAGGGGGAGAAAGAAGAAGAGAAGAGAAGAAGGUGGUGAAGGUGUAAUUCUCCUGGUCCCUUGCUGGUUUUACAACCCAAGACUGAUUUUCUCAAGGACCUAGGAGCCAUCCCUUUAGGUAAGGUCCUAAUUUUGAGAAGUACCAAUUAGCAAAGAUAAAUGGCUGAAUCACAUCAACCAACUUGCCACCAAUCCUCCAAUACUUUUCCACUGGCUCACUCCAGUGCUUAAAAGCUCUCCUACCUUUUGUUUUAGUGGAGUUGAAUUCAGUUUCUCUCUCCUAUUGCAAUAGUAUUGAAAAAAGUCUUUCUUGCCUGUCAACUCAGUUCAGCACAUUUUUUUUGUCAGUUUACAUAAAUCAGAGCUUUUCAAACAUUUGCAUAUGCAUGAAGGGCACUGCACAUGAUCAAUGAUCAAAUGAAAUAUUGCUACCCUCAGCACUCAAGGCAGGUAGAUGGAGCCACUGUAUGCAGAACCCCAGGCUAGUAAUUGCUGGGUGCAAGGAGCCUCUUCCAUUUUUCUAUAUCCAUUUACAUCUACAACAUUCCCUGUGUGAUCUUGUAUAAGAGAUGAGAGAUCACUGACAUGGAUGAAAGAAAGCUCUAAAUUCCUUAUUUAAUAUAUAUUUCUAGAAUGUUUCCAAUGCAUGGUUAAUUGCAUUCAAAUUUAAAGGAGUUUUGGAAAAGCAGGAGAGAAGAGGCAAAACUAAAGUGUCCAUAAGGAACUUGAAAUAUAACAUCAAAUAAUAGAAACAACAAAGAGAUGGUUCAAAGAACAUAAGAACAAGUUACACAACAGUACAAAGACUAAAAGAAAAUAUAUAAAUUGAAUUGAUGACAUAAAAAUGAUAUCAAAGAAAGAAAAUGUAGUAGUACAUGAAGGAAGUGAGGGCAAGAUUUAGUAAAGGAAAAAAGUUAGGUGAGUUACAGACAAUGUUAUGGGAAAGCUUCAUAAAGUAGGUGAGUUCGGAGUUCCUGUCAUGGCUCAGUGGUUAAUGAAUCCAACUAGGAACCAUGAGAUUGCAGGUUCGAUCCCUGGCCUUGCUCAGUGGGUUAAAGAUCUGGCGUUGCUGUGAGCUGAGAUGUAGGUUCUCAGAUGCAGCUCGGAUCUGGCGUUUCUGUGGCUCUGGCGUAGGCUGGCAGCUAUAGCGCCGAUUAGACCCCUAGCCUGGGAACCUCCAUAUGCUGCCAGAGUGGCCCUAGAAAAGGCAAAAAGACAAAAAAAAAA